AAUAUGAUCAUUUUUCGUUUUUCCGUGUCUAACAUUUAAUCAUUCGUCUUAUUUGAAAAAAAUUUAUGGUUAAUAUUUUUGUUCUUACUAGAUAAUAAAAUAUGAAUAGUACUUUAUGUGUGACUAAUUUUUUAAGUUUUUAUACAAAUUUUUCAAAUAAGACGAAUGGUCAAACAUUAGACACGGAAAAAC
rfam:Oryza brachyantha chromosome 2, whole genome shotgun sequence.